AGCGAACGCUGGCGGCAGGCCUAACACAUGCAAGUCGAACGGAUCCUUCGGGAUUAGUGGCGGACGGGUGAGUAACACGUGGGAACGUGCCCUUUGGUUCGGAACAACUCAGGGAAACUUGAGCUAAUACCGGAUGUGCCCUUCGGGGGAAAGAUUUAUCGCCAUUGGAGCGGCCCGCGUCUGAUUAGCUAGUUGGUGAGGUAAAGGCUCACCAAGGCGACGAUCAGUAGCUGGUCGGAGAGGAUGAUCAGCCACAUUGGGACUGGGACACGGCCCAAACUCCUACGGGAGGCAGCAGUGGGGAAGCUUGCGCAAUGGGCGAAAGCCUGACGCAGCCAUGCCGCGUGAAUGAUGAAGGUCUUAGGAUUGUAAAAUUCUUUCACCGGGGACGAUAAUGACGGUACCCGGAGAAGAAGCCCCGGCUAACUUCGUGCCAGCCGCCGCCGUAACAC
rnacentral:rRNA from 1 species